rnacentral:rRNA from 1 species
AUUGAACGCUGGCGGCAGGCCUAACACAUGCAAGUCGAGCGAGCGGCGGACGGGUGAGUAAUGCCUGGGAAUUGCCCAGUCGAGGGGGAUAACAGUUGGAAACGACUGCUAAUACCGCAUACGAUUGGAUUGCCCAGGUGGGAUUAGCUAGGUGGUGGGGUAAUGGCUCACCAAUGCGACGAUCACUAGCUGGUCUGAGAGGAUUAUCAGCCAAACUGGCACUUAGACACGGUCCAGACUCCUACUGGAGGCAGCAGUGGAGAGUAUUGCACAAUGGGGGAAACCCUGAUGCAGCCAUUCCGCGUGUGUUAAUAAGGCCUUGUGGUUGUAAAGCACUUUCAGCGAGGAGGCGUUACUCGCAGAAGAAGCACCGGCUAACUCCGUGCCAGCAGCCGCGGUAAUAC